GACGAACGCUGGCGGCGUGCUUAACACAUGCAAGUCGAACGGAAAGGCCCUGCUUUUGUGGGGUGCUCGAGUGGCGAACGGGUGAGUAACACGUGAGUAACCUGCCCUUGACUUUGGGAUAACUUCAGGAAACUGGGGCGAAUACCGGAUAGGAGCUCCUGCUGCAUGGUGGGGGUGGGAAAGGUUCGGCGGUUGGGGAUGGCCUCGCGGCUUAUCAGCUUGUGGGUGGGGUAGUGGCUUACCAAGGCUUUGACGGGUAGCCGGCCUGAGAGGGUGACCGGCCACAUUGGGACUGCGAUACGGCCCAGACUCCUACGGGAGGCAGCAGUGGGGAAUAUUGCACAAUGGGCGGAAGCCUGAUGCAGCAACGCCGCGUGCGGGAUGACGGCCUUCGGGUUGUAAACCGCUUUCGCCUGUGACGAAGCGUGAGUGACGGUAAUGGGUAAAGAAGCACCGGCUAACUACGUG
rnacentral:rRNA from 1 species